rnacentral:rRNA from 1 species
GGACGAACGCUGGCGGCGUGCUUAACACAUGCAAGUCGAACGGAAAGGCCCUGCUUUUGUGGGGUGCUCGAGUGGCGAACGGGUGAGUAACACGUGAGUAACCUGCCCUUGACUUUGGGAUAACUUCAGGAAACUGGGGCUAAUACCGGAUAGGAGCUCCUGCUGCAUGGUGGGGGUUGGAAAGUUUCGGCGGUUGGGGAUGGACUCGCGGCUUAUCAGCUUGUUGGUGGGGUAGUGGCUUACCAAGGCUUUGACGGGUAGCCGGCCUGAGAGGGUGACCGGCCACAUUGGGACUGAGAUACGGCCCAGACUCCUACGGGAGGCAGCAGUGGGGAAUAUUGCACAAUGGGCGGAAGCCUGAUGCAGCAACGCUGCGUGCGGGAUGACGGCCUUCGGGUUGUAAACCGCUUUCGCCUGUGACGAAGCGUGAGUGACGGUAAUGGGUAAAGAAGCACCGGCUAACUACGUG